rnacentral:rRNA from 1 species
GUUGUAUCAGCAGUGUACUCCAAACCCAUGUGACUUACCUAUGUUGCCUCGGCGGGAAAGCUGACCCGGAUGGUAAUUA